GACGAACGCUGGCGGCGUGCUUAACACAUGCAAGUCGAACGGAAAGGCCCUGCUUUUGUGGGGUGCUCGAGUGGCGAACGGGUGAGUAACACGUGAGUAACCUGCCCUUGACUUUGGGAUAACUUCAGGAAACUGGGGCUAAUACCGGAUAGGAGCUCCUGCUGCAUGGUGGGGGUUGGAAAGUUUCGGCGGUUGGGGAUGGACUCGCGGCUUAUCAGCUUGUUGGUGGGGUAGUGGCUUACCAAGGCUUUGACGGGUAGCCGGCCUGAGAGGGUGACCGGCCACAUUGGGACUGAGAUACGGCCCAGACUCCUACGGUAGGCAGCAGUGGGGAAUAUUGCACAAUGGGCGGAAGCCUGAUGCAGCAACGCCGCGUGCGGGAUGACGGCCUUCGGGUUGUAAACCGCUUUCGCCUGAGACGAAGCGUGAGUGACGGUAAUGGGUAAAGAAGCACCGGCUAACUACGUG
rnacentral:rRNA from 1 species